GACGAACGCUGGCGGCGUGCUUAACACAUGCAAGUCGAACGAAGAGCGAUGGACGCUUGCUUCUAUCAAUCUUAGUGGCGAACGGGUGAGUAACGCGUAAUCAACCUGCCCUUCAGAGGGGGACAACAGUUGGAAACGACUGCUAAUACCGCAUACGAUCUAAUCUCGGCAUCGAGGAUAGAUGAAAGGUGGCCUCUACAUGUAAGCUCUCACUGAAGGAGGGGAUUGCGUCUGAUUAGCUAGUUGGAGGGGUAACGGCCCACCAAGGCGAUGAUCAGUAGCCGGUCUGAGAGGAUGAACGGCCACAUUGGGACUGAGACACGGCCCAGACUCCUACGGGAGGCAGCAGUGGGGAAUCUUCCGCAAUGGACGAAAGUCUGACGGAGCAACGCCGCGUGAGCGAUGACGGCCUUCGGGUUGUAAAGCUCUGUUAAUCGGGACGAAAGGCCUUCUUGCGAAUAGUGAGAAGGAUUGACGGUACCGGAAGAGAAAGCCACGGCUAACUACGUG
rnacentral:rRNA from 1 species